AUCGAACGCUGGCGGCAGGCCUAACACAUGCAAGUCGAGCGAGUGGCGGACGGGUGAGUAAUGUAUGGGGAACUGCCUGAUGGAGGGGGGUAAACACUGGAAACGGUAGCUAAUACCGCAUACCAUCCGAUGCACCCAUAUGGGAUUAGUUUGUAGGUAAGGUAACGGCUCAACUAGGCGACGAGCCCUAGCUGGUCUGAGAGGAUGAUAAGCCACACUGGGACUGAGACACGGCCCAGACUCCUACGGGAGGAAGCAGUGGGGAAUAUUGCGCAAUGGGGGCAACCCUGACGCAGCCAUGCCGCGUGAAUGAAGAAGGCCUUCGGGUUGGAAAGUACUUUCAGUAGCGAGGCGUUAACUACAGAAGAAGCACCGGCUAACUCCGUGCCAGCAGCCGCGGUAAUAC
rnacentral:rRNA from 1 species